UAUGCUCCUUCCUCCUACUCUACACCAUAAAAACUCCUUCCUUCCUCCAAGCCUUCCUCUAUCCGAUCUAUCUUUUCCGCUGAGUAGAUGGAGGAUAGGAGAAGAGAUCGAUCUCAGGGGGUGCUCGCGCAUCAAAAGGUGAUCGGUCACUCAAUUGAAGUUAGGAAAGUCUGGAGUUUGAAACAAAGGAUUUGGUGAUGAACCUCCACCUUGUUGCCCCGAAGUAUGAAGAUACUUACCAGGGGACGACAGAAAAAACACUUCAAUUUGUAGUUUAUUUCCUCUCUCUCCAUAUUGAUUUUGUUUUGAGCUAUCUCCUACAGACCUCACUUCCCUUUACCUUACCUUUGCCCCUAAAAACUAGCAAAUCACUUUAGAUUUUCAUCCUUUCCUUUACUUUACUUCCUCCUCUACCAAACCAAAGUGGUUUGCAGCUCAACUCUCGGUAUAUAUAAUAUGAAUGAAAUGGGCUAAAAUCCACUUAAGUGGACAAUAGCUAUCGUGCAUUGAACUUUUUUUUUUAUUCAUUGAUUUUGCGUUGAGUUUCAUGCUAGUUUGUGAUACACGCAAGUUACUUAUAUCUAGUAUAUCGUAGGUCAUCCCUCUCAUGUCUGUGUAACUAUUAGUGCAUACUGUAUCAUUAAUGGUCUGUCUUUGACAUCAAUCUACUGCAUCAUUUUCAGUCUGUCUUUGACAUCUUUCUCUU